GCUGGCCUAGGCAGAAACAAAAAAAUCUGUUUGACUCUCGAGGGAGUCACCCCCCUUCCUUCGGUCAGUUUGGAACUGCAAUGAAGUAAUGCUCACCUGACUCUCAAGGACGGGAUGGGGCAAAGCCAGGAGAGAAGAAAGGACAAGACAAAAGGGAGAGUCAUUUGCCAUGCUUUCUCUUUCUUCCACCUACAUCUACAGACACCACACGAAGCUACUGAAGCACUGAUCAAAGGGGAGAGCCUGGCUGAAGACCAACAAGCAAGCCUGUGCUCUCAUCUACUGCUGCAGGUUCUGUAUGUAAUUCACUUACAAUACUCCAGGGAAAACAAAUGCUGAGGACAUUAAUCAGAACAACUGACUGAUUAUCUGAAAAGGAGGAAGCAGAUCAGGAACUGACAUCCCAGGGAUAUCCCAGUGAUGAACAUUCUUCAGUGAAAUAGAGAUAAAGAAAGGAGG